rnacentral:rRNA from 1 species
GACGAACGCUGGCGGCGUGCCUAAUACAUGCAAGUCGAGCGAAUGACGAGAAGCUUGCUUCUCUGAUUUAGCGGCGGACGGGUGAGUAACACGUGGGCAACCUGCCCUACAGAUCGGGAUAACUCAGGGAAACCUGGGCUAAUACCGGAUAAUCCUUCGAAUCACAUGUUUUGAAGUUGAAAGGCGCUUCGGCGUCACUGUAGGAUGGGUCCGCGGUGCAUUAGCUAGUUGGAGGGCUAACGGCCUACCAAGGCAACGAUGCAUAGCCGACCGGAGAGGGUGAUCGGCCACAUUGGGACUGAGACACGGCCCAAACUCCUACGGGAGGCAGCAGUAGGGAAUCUUCCACAAUGGACGAAAGUCUGAUGGAGCAACGCCGCGUGAGUGAUGAAGGUUUUCGGAUCGUAAAACUCUGUUGUAAGGGAAGAACAAGUACGUUAGGAAAUGAACGUACCUUGACGGUACCUUAUUAGAAAGCCACGGCUAACUACGUGCCAGCAGCCGCAGUAA